UACAGGGGGGGCAAGCGUUGUUCGGAAUUACUGGGCGUAAAGGGCUCGUAGGCGGCCAACUAAGUCACACGUGAAAUCCCCAGGCUUAACCUGGGAACUGCGUGUGAUACUGGAUGGCUUGAAUUCGGGAGAGGGAUGCAGAAUUCCAGGUGUAGCGGUGAAAUGCGUAGAUAUCUGGAGGAAUACCGGUGGCGAAGGCGGCAUCCUGGACCGACGAUUGACGCUGAGGAGCGAAAGCUAGGGGAGCAAACGGG
rnacentral:rRNA from 1 species